UUUUUGUUUUUGCUUUAUGUGUGUGUGUGUGUGUGUGUGUGUGUGUGUGCGCUACUUUCUUUUGCCUCCUCUGCAUCUCUAUAACAUGUGAACUUAGGAUUCUAUUCCAUCAGCUACCACUUGGCACCUGUGACCUUGGCAGCUGUAUUUCUAUGAUAUCACAGUGGGUUGCCAUGGUGAAGAAUAAGAUUUUACACAAAAUGGAGGUACAGUUCCAAAACCCUGGAGCAGAUAGAUACGAAUGGAAAAACGUAUAGUCUCAAACCUUAAGAGCAAGAAGAGACCUUAGGUAUGAUAUGAAGGAACUGGAGCCCCAAGAGAAACUCAUCAGGAACGGAAAGAGUAAAAAAGGAACAUAGAUAGAGAAAUAGACAGCAAUGCAUGAAACAAUUAAUAAGUCAUGGACUUCUGAUCAGGAUUGAUGAAAGGAGUACAUUCACCCAGACUGAUACCCCUUAUUUUUAUUCAGUGCCUCCCAAGUGCACCCAAUGCUAUUCCUGCUCUCUUGGAUCAGUCCAGUGUCUCUCCCUCUCCACUCAAGGGCCAUAUUAUCCACUUGAGAAACCUAUGGAUUAAACUUUGUGCCUAUAUCUUGUCUUGGGAACAAGUCCAUUGAAAAUAAACAGGCUUCCAGGCUGGCCCCAGUUUUACAGAAGCAGCAGAUGACACAUGAAAGCCAGCAGACAACACAG